AUUGAACGCUGGCGGCAGGCCUAACACAUGCAAGUCGAACGAGCGGCGGACGGGUGAGUAAUGUCUGGGAAACUGCCUGAUAGAGGGGGAUCACUACUGGAAACGGUAGCUAAUACCGCAUACUAUCGGAUGUACCCAUAUGGGAUUAGCUAGUAGGUGGGGUAAAGGCUCACCUAGGCGACGAUCCCUAGCUGGUCUGAGCGGAUGACCAGCCACACUGGAACGGAGACACGGUCCAGACUCCUACGGGAGGCAGCAGUGGGGAAUAUUGCACAAUGGGCGCAAGCCUGAUGCAGCCAUGCCGCGUGUAUGAAGAAGGCCUUCGGGUUGUAAAGUACUUUCAGCGGGGAGGCGUUACCCGCAGAAGAAGCACCGGCUAACUCCGUGCCAGCAGCCGCGGUAAUUC
rnacentral:rRNA from 1 species